GCCCCAAUUAUAGUGAGCAGACGAUAGUUGGUAGAAGAAUCUCAUAAAUCUCUCCUGCUGCCUGCGUGCUCCUGCUGCUGUUCCUCUUGAUCUUCGAACUAAAGAUAAGCGAGAUCGGGAUUAUCGAGAUCAGCCACAAUAAUAUUAGCGGCAGCAUUGUCAGAGUCAGCGAUGGGAGCAGCAGCAGAUUUUACGCCGGAAUUAAUGCUGGCGUUGGUACCAGCAGCAACAGGUUUGGCGAUAGAAUCAACAGCGACGGGUUUGGUAACAGAACCAACGACGACGGGUUUGGCGGUAGAAUUCGUACUCUACGUUCAGCAGCAAUGGGUUUGACGACGGAGGCAGCUACGGCAGAAUUAGACGUACGUCUAA
rnacentral:lncRNA from 1 species